CCUACGGGAGGCAGCAGUAGGGAAUCUUUCACAAUGGGCGAAAGCCUGAUGGAGCAACGCCGCGUGCAGGAUGAAGGCCUUCGGGUUGUAAACUGCUUUUAUAAGCGAGAAAUAUGAUGGUAACUUAUGAAUAAGGAUCGGCUAACUACGUGCCAGCAGCGGCGGUCAUACGUAGGAUCCGAGCAUUAUCCGGAGUGACUGGGUGUAAAGAGUUGCGUAGGUGGCAUAAUAAGUAGCUAGUGAAAUCUGGUGGCUCAACCAUUCAGACUAUUAGCUAAACUGUUAAGCUCGAGACCGUUAGGGGUAACUGGAAUUUCUAGUGUAGGAGUGAAAUCCGUAGAUAUUAGAAGGAACACCAAUAGCGUAGGCAGGUUGCUGGGACGGUUCUGACACUAAGGCACGAAAGCGUAGGGAGCAAACGGGAUUAGAUACCCGUGUAGUC
rnacentral:rRNA from 1 species